ACACCCAGUGGCGUGCACAGACAUUUUGGGGGGCAGGUGCUCAGGGAAAAAUAAGGGCACAUUAAAGUGUCAUUUCGAAGUGAAGAGUGAUCAUUACCACUUUUCUAAAGCAGCAUCCUCCUCAGUGCCAUGUCUUGAUGUUGAUGACCUCACUAUGAUUGAUCUUGAUAUAUUCUUCUAUAGCAAGCAGGAGAAGGUCAGAGAGCUGUUCUUCUCCACACAGACUUCUUAGUUUAGUUUUGAUAAUUUUCAGCUUUGAAAAUUAUCUCUCCACAGAAGCAGUUGUCACUGGCAAUGUUUCAUCGAUUUUUAUCAUCUUCACAAAGGCAGGAAAGAUGAGCCGGCCACUGUUUUCCCUCAGUAUGGCAAAGAUUUAUUUGAGGUCUUUUGCAGGAAAGCUGGAGUGGAACACCUUUAGUUCUGUCUUCAGCUGGUCCUCGUCUUCUCCAUAGAAAUCAGGAUGUGGACGGCUUCCUUGGCUUCUGCGUUUGGCGUGCUUACCCACUGUGAACUACAGCUGCAAUGCGCCUCCGUUUGUGUCCGCUCUGCGCGUUCAUGUUGACAAAGGAAGAGAGUUGUGUGCGAGGAGGAGGAGGGGGGGGGGGCAUAUAUAUUGGGCCAUUAUUAUCACACGUUUUUAAUUGUCGAGCCUUUAUAGAUGAUAAUGUCGGCAUGGGCCACAUACA